rnacentral:lncRNA from 1 species
ACUGUCACAGCUUUCCAGAGCAGGGUCCCUCUUUCUGCCUUCGUGCCUAUGUGUAAAAGCCAUCUGCCACUUUGGAGGACUUGGCUCAUGGGAAGCCUGUGAGGAACCCAUUUGGGAGGCACCUGAGCUGUCUUCUCUAGGAAAUAGCUACUUUGUGCGGCAUGUUCCCUUACAGAGAAGGCUAAAGAGUGGAUAAGAGGAAAUCUAGUUAAUCCAGGCCAACACAGCAUUUAAGGACACCUUGAUAACGAAAGAGAUGGAGCACAGAGCAGGAUAAAAAGAAUCAAAAUUGUCUACAAAUGAGGUA